rfam:Gossypium hirsutum cultivar TM-1 chromosome 16, whole genome shotgun sequence
CAUUGGUAAGAAUCCAAUGCCCCGAAAACCCAAGGGUUCCUCCGCAAGGUUUGUCCACAGAGGGUGAGUCAGGGCCUAAGAUUAGGCCGAAAGGCUUAGUCGAUGGACAAUAGGUGAAUAUUCCUGUACUACCUUUAUUGGUCCCGAGGGAUAGAGGAGGUUAGGUUAGUUGAAAGAUGGUUAUCGGUUCAAUGACGCAAGGUGCCCCUACUUUUUUAGGGUAAGAAGGGG